ensembl:lncRNA
UUUUAAACUCUUGACUUCCUCAACACAUGCACAGAAACGAAGUGUGGAAACAGAAUCAUUCAAAGUGGAAAGAAAGCGGUCUCUGCUUUCAGUAACAAGCCAUAGCUGUGUCUUUCAUGCCCAGGUAACAACUUACACAGACAUCAGAGAAACAGAAAAAUGGAUUCAUGGGCUUCUGGAGAAACAAUACACCAGUGGAGCAGUACUCUUACAACCUGAGGACAUUUUAAUUUCUUAUAUUGGGCCAUGUCCUGAGCACAACCAUCACACCAGGCAAGGGCUUUUCAGUUGGUCCCAAACUGGGGUUCAGCGCAACACCUCACUUUCCUGUGUGGGAAACCCUAAAAAGUUAGCCUAUAGGCAAUGUCUUCUGGAUGCAAACGUUGGAGCUCUUUGGAAAUCUCCAGACCUGCGGCAAUGCCAGGUUGUGGUCAACAGUGUGUCAGACCUGGAGGACAUUACAGUCACUUAUGACAAUGCAGAAGAUAUUCUGAUCAUGAUUGAGGACUUGAUACAUGAGAACAAAAAUCUGGAUGAGUACGAGCUCUCAACGGUACUCAAUAAACUAGCUGAUGUGAUUAAC